CAUACACCAUAUCAAAUUACCGAACGAAUACCAAAUUCACAUGACUAGUAUUAGCAUGACCUAUCCCAUGUCCCCAGGAACAAAAGUAACUACUCACAAAGCAUAAUCAUAUUCAUGACCAGAGAGGUAAUGAGUAGCAUCAAGGAUCUGAACAUAAACUCUUCCACCAAAUAAUCCAACUAGCAUCAACUACAAAGAGUAAUCAACACUACUAGCAACCUUACAAGUACCAAUCGGAGUCGCGAGACGGAGAUUGGUUACAAGUGAUGAACUAGGGUUUGGAGAUGAGAUGGUGUUGAUGAAGAUGUUGAUGGUGACGAGUCCCCUCCGAUGAGAGGAGUGUUGGUGAUGACGAUGGCGACUUUCCCCCUCUGGCAGGGAAGUUUCCCCGGCAGGAUCGUCCUGCCGGAGCUCUAGAUUGGUUAUGCUCAAGUUCCACCUCGUGGCGGCGGCGAAACCACGAAAAAGCUCCUCCCUGGUUUUUUCCUGGACGAAACCGUUCAUAUAGCAAAAGAGGGGGGCAACUGGGCCAGUAGGGUGCCCACAAGCCCCCAUGGCGCGACCUGGGGGGUGGCCGCGCCGUGCAGGCUUGUGGCCACCCCUUGGCGCCCCUCUGGCACUUCUUCGGGCGAAUAUUUUUGAUAAACCAGGAAAAAUAUCCUCAUUGAUUUUUACGGCGUUUGGAGUUGCGCAUAAUAGGUAUCUCAAACUUGCUCCACUUUCAGGCCAGAAUUCCAGCUGCCGGUAUUCUCUCUCUUCAUGUAAACCUUGCAAAAUAAAAGAGAAAAGGCAUAAGAAUUGUACCGUGAAGUGAAAUAUCAGCCCAAGGAGCGAUAAAUAUCAACAUGAAAAUAUGAUGCAAAAUGGACGUAUCAGCCCCGCACACAGCCCAUUUUGGACCAUGACUCAUGAGGAGCACCCGCCCGAGUUGUUGAUUCAUUAUCACGGGUUCAUUACUCCCUAUGAGGGUUUAUUAGUUAUUAGGAAAAUGUAAUACCAAAGUUGGGCCUUGCCAGAAGAGUUUUAGUCUAAGACAAAUUAUCAAGGGGGUCCCCAUAACAACCCCCAAGCAUGCUAGGAGCGCACAAUAUGGAACAUAACACGAGUACACAAGUAACUAGGGCGGCAAAGGUGGAACAAAACACCAAUCAAAAGGCCAAACCUUCCACCUUUUACCAAGUAUAUAUGUGCAUUAGUUAAAAUAGCAAUAAUAUUGUGACAUCUCAAUAAAUCCAUGUUGGCAUAUGGAAUCAACUGCAGCUGCAACUAGCAACACUAUAAGAAGGCUGAGCAAGUGGUAACAUAGCCAAACAAAGGUUUGCUAGGAUGUGGAGGGGGUAGAGGCUUUUCAUGGCAAUGUUUGGAGGCUUGACAUUUGGGUGGUAGGUAAGGAGACAUAACAAUAGAAGUGAGACAACUACCAAAGCAAUGAUAGUAGUGGUAUCCAGGGAAAUGAUCAUCUUGCCUCUGAUCCCGCUUGAAAGGAGAACGAAUCCGUGAAGUAGACGAACCAACAUAGUCGAACAAAUCGUCACACUCCGACACUCUUGCGUAACUCUAUUGGCGAGAAGAAAUCUAGAAACAAACAGUCAACACAUGUUAACACCAGAACAUAUUCAUGACAUGAUGCAUACUCAAAUAUGAUGCAUGUCCAUACAAUUAUGCAAGGCAUGACAAAGCACAACAAUAAAUACUACGCAUUAAAUGAAGCUCAAUAUGCAAUGAAUUGCAUAUUCACGAAACGCCAUAUUUGAAUUAUUUACUUCACUCUCGUUUUGGUACAUGACACUAUUAAAUGGUAUUAACAUGUAAAGAGAUGAGGCAUAAAUAAAUUACACUAUCUAGGCAUUUUAAAUGAGGUCGGAAACAACUUAUAGCAUUUCCGAAACGACCCCAUUUGUUAAUUUCGUAAUUGGUCCAGAUCUGAACUAAUCGGGGGGGUUAUAUUUAUUUAAACAGGGAGCCAAAUGUACCAAGAUAUUCUACACUUCAUUCUAGGCGAUUUACAUAUAUGGAUCAUUCAAUACGGAGUUACGGUCUACAAGAUAUGACCAACGGAAGAUGAAUAUGCCAUGAAUGCAAAAUGCAUGCAAAAGAAAACCACAAACAUUUUAAAUCAUGGAUGCAAAAAGAUAUUAUGAAACAACAUGAAAUUAUAAGCAGGUUUUAUAUAUGGCAUGUUCAAAACGGAGAAACGGUUCAAAAAAUACGACCAACACAAAUUCUAUUCAUAAUCUUCCCAAAACAGCAACAUGACAUUUUGCACACAUCAAAACAACAAGAUACAGGAAUCUAAAAUACACAAAUAAUACAUGGGGCAGUAGUUGACAUAAUGC
rnacentral:lncRNA from 1 species